rnacentral:misc_RNA from 1 species
GGAUACAACGACGAAUGGCCAAAUGUUCAGAAAUUACAGUACAUGCUGAAGUAGAUGCACCCAUAUUACAAAAAAAUGACCUUUGCAACAAAAAUUGACCGAGUCCGUGCAAGACUAUGUUCAAAGUUGAUCCUAUCAUUUAGAAAACAACAAAAACUAACCAAGGUCAUUUACGACUAUGUUUUCUCGAAUGUUAGGGAGUUAGCAACCCUUACAAAAGAUACAUUACAAAAAAAACAAAUAAACUAAUUAACUAACUCCAUCUUCAAACUGGAGGGAUUUCCAUCUCGUCUUCAUCAGUAUCCACAUUCACAUGACCACGACGACGUUGGUAGCACUUCAGAACCUUGGUAUAAAACUUCAUGCACUAAUAUGGUGAACAUCACAAAUCCAAAUAUAAAUCCAAUAUAUGAUACGAGCAUGAAAGUGCCCAAAUCCAUUAGCUUUGUCGAACAAGAAAAAAAAUAUAAGUUUUGGUUAAUAUAAAAGAUAUAGAUCUUUUUUUUAAAAAAAUGACUCAAAUAUCUCAAACCCAUUCAAUAAUUGU